ACGAGUCUGACCUGAGGAGAGACAGGGAGAUCAGAGCCGGAGAUGGCACCCUGAAUCCACCACUUCCCCUACAAAAGCAUAGUGUGUCCCUCACACUUGGGGUUCCCUGAAAAAGGGGCCCUAGGACACGGGCCCUUGUUGCCUUCUUGCCAUUUCUUUACUCAUCUCCAGAAAACUCAGCAAAAGGAACUCAGCCAGGUCUGAAGAGACUCGGGGACCCUGUUGUGAAUCUGAUUCCUGCUCACAGGGGACUGCUGCAGAGCAAGAUGUUCUCCCAAAGAUUCAAUUCAUAUAUCUUUAUUCUUCUUCCUCUUUCCUUGGGUGAGAGGUGCCAGAAGAAUCACCAUGGGUUCUAGAAAAUUCUACCUCCAAAAAAAUGAACACCUGGGAAUCGUCUGAAAGACUCCCUAAGAAAGGCAAAGUCACUGAAGGCAAUCGGGGGCAGAACUGCAUCAGCACCAGGCCGUACCGGGCCCGAGUUCCACAGUGACACCUUGUGGCAGUGAGAAGCAAUGGUGUCAGCAGACUGAUCAGGCCACAGUCCUUUUCCCACUGGGGUGUGGAGCAGAUGGAUCUGCCAGAUGUGGACUAAGACCCUGGGUUCUCACCCUCUUCAUGAUUAGAGGGAAGACUCGAGGGAGAGCCAGAAGAUUCCUUGCUUCCUGCGCCACGCUCUUCCUCCAUGAUGCUUUGCCCCACCUUGAGCCCCGAGGAAAGGAGCUGUCGUCUGUGCACUAAGACCUUUGAAAAUGUGAGCCCCCAAAUAAACUUUUC